GUUGGUAAGGUAAUGGCUUACCAAGGCUAUGACGCUUAACUGGUCUGAGAGGAUGAUCAGUCACACUGGAACUGAGACACGGUCCAGACUCCUACGGGAGGCAGCAGUAGGGAAUAUUGCGCAAUGGGGGAAACCCUGACGCAGCAACGCCGCGUGGAGGAUGACACUUUUCGGAGCGUAAACUCCUUUUCUUAGGGAAGAAUUCUGACGGUACCUAAGGAAUAAGCACCGGCUAACUCCGUGCCAGCAGCCGCGGUAAUACGGAGGGUGCAAGCGUUACUCGGAAUCACUGGGCGUAAAGGGCGCGUAGGCGGAUUAUCAAGUCUCUUGUGAAAUCUAAUGGCUUAACCAUUAAACUGCUUGGGAAACUGAUAGUCUAGAGUGAGGGAGAGGCAGAUGGAAUUGGUGGUGUAGGGGUAAAAUCCGUAGAUAUCACCAAGAAUACCCAUUGCGAAGGCGAUCUGCUGGAACUCAACUGACGCUAAGGCGCGAAAGCGUGGGGAGCAAACAGGAUUAGAUACCCUGGUAGUCCACGCCCUAAACGAUGUACACUAGUUGUUGGGGUGCUAGUCAUCUCAGUAAUGCAGCUAACGCAUUAAGUGUACCGCCUGGGGAGUACGGUCGCAAGAUUAAAACUCAAAGGAAUAGACGGGGACCCGCACAAGCGGUGGAGCAUGUGGUUUAAUUCGAAGAUACGCGAAGAACCUUACCUGGGCUUGAUAUCCUAAGAACCUUUUAGAGAUAAGAGGGUGCUAGCUUGCUAGAACUUAGAGACAGGUGCUGCACGGCUGUCGUCAGCUCGUGUCGUGAGAUGUUGGGUUAAGUCCCGCAACGAGCGCAACCCACGUAUUUAGUUGCUAACGGUUCGGCCGAGCACUCUAAAUAGACUGCCUUCGUAAGGAGGAGGAAGGUGUGGACGACGUCAAGUCAUCAUGGCCCUUAUGCCCAGGGCGACACACGUGCUACAAUGGCAUAUACAAUGAGACGCAAUACCGCGAGGUGGAGCAAAUCUAUAAAAUAUGUCCCAGUUCGGAUUGUUCUCUGCAACUCGAGAGCAUGAAGCCGGAAUCGCUAGUAAUCGUAGAUCAGCCAUGCUACGGUGAAUACGUUCCCGGGUCUUGUACUCACCGCCCGUCACACCAUGGGAGUUGAUUUCACUCGAAGCCGGAAUACUAAACUAGUUACCGUCCACAGUGGAAUCAGCGACUGGGGUGAAGUCGUAACAAGGUAACCGUAGGAGAACCUGCGGUUGGAUCACCUCCUUUCUA
rnacentral:rRNA from 1 species